rnacentral:rRNA from 1 species
UACGUAGGGUGCAAGCGUUGUCCGGAAUUAUUGGGCGUAAAGAGCUCGUAGGCGGUUUGUCGCGUCUGCUGUGAAAACGCGAGGCUCAACCUCGCGCCUGCAGUGGGUACGGGCAGACUAGAGUGCGGUAGGGGAGAUUGGAAUUCCUGGUGUAGCGGUGGAAUGCGCAGAUAUCAGGAGGAAUACCGAUGGCGAAGGCAGAUCUCUGGGCCGUUACUGACGCUGAGGAGCGAAAGCAUGGGGAGCGAACAGG